rnacentral:rRNA from 1 species
AAGAUUAGCGGCGGACGGGUGAGUAACACGUGGGCAACCUGCCUGUAAGACUGGGAUAACUCCGGGAAACCGGGGCUAAUACCGGAUAAUAUCUAUUUAUACAUAUAAUUAGAUUGAAAGAUGGUUCUGCUAUCACUUACAGAUGGGCCCGCGGCGCAUUAGCUAGUUGGUGAGGUAACGGCUCACCAAGGCGACGAUGCGUAGCCGACCUGAGAGGGUGAUCGGCCACACUGGGACUGAGACACGGCCCAGACUCCUACGGGAGGCAGCAGUAGGGAAUCUUCCGCAAUGGACGAAAGUCUGACGGAGCAACGCCGCGUGAGUGAUGAAGGUUUUCGGAUCGUAAAACUCUGUUGUUAGGGAAGAACAAGUACCGGAGUAACUGCCGGUACCUUGACGGUACCUAACCAGAAAGCCACGGCUAACUACGUGCCAGCAGCCGCGGUAAUACGUAGGUGGCAAGCGUUGUCCGGAAUUAUUGGGCGUAAAGCGCGCGCAGGCGGUUCCUUAAGUCUGAUGUGAAAGCCCACGGCUCAACCGUGGAGGGUCAUUGGAAACUGGGGAACUUGAGUGCAGAAGAGGAAAGUGGAAUUCCAAGU